CAGCUCCGGCCGCCGCGCCGCUUGGCUCUCGUAUUCCUUGUUCUCGGCGGGCUCUGCGGGCUCUGCGCCGCGGCCGUUAGUCAUGUCGGAUUCUGGAAGUUAUGGUCAGUCUGGGGGUGAGCAGCAAAGUUAUUCCUCUUAUGGAAAUCAAGGCAACCAAGGCUAUGGACAAACACCACAAAGCUAUUCUGGCUAUGGGCAAACAACAGAUUCCUCAUAUGGACAGAACUACAGCGGUUACUCCAGUUAUGGACAAAGCCAGUCAGGUUAUUCACAGUCCUACGGUGGUUAUGAGAAUCAAAAGCAGAGCUCAUAUGGCCAGCAAUCAUAUAAUAACCAGGGACAACAAAACAUGGAAUCAUCAGGAGGCCAAGGUGGAAGAGCACCUUCCUAUGACCAGUCAGACUAUGGUCAACAAGAUUCAUAUGACCAGCAGUCAGGCUAUGAUCAACAUCCAGGCUCAUAUGACAAGCAGUCAAAUUAUGAUCAGCAGCAUGAUUCCUAUAAUCAAAACCAGCAGUCCUAUCAUUCACAAAGGGAAAAUUACAGCCACCAUACACAAGAUGACCGUCGUGAUGUGAGUAGGUAUGGAGAAGAUAAUAGAGGAUAUGGCGGGUCACAGGGAGGAGGUAGAGGGCGUGGGGGAUAUGACAAGGACGGAAGAGGUCCUAUGACAGGAUCAAGUGGUGGUGACCGCGGUGGCUUCAAAAAUUUUGGUGGUCACAGGGAUUAUGGACCCAGACCAGAUGCUGACUCAGAAUCCGAUAAUUCAGAUAACAACACAAUCUUUGUGCAAGGACUUGGGGAGGGUGUGUCUACAGAUCAAGUGGGGGAGUUCUUUAAACAAAUAGGAAUUAUCAAGACAAACAAGAAGACUGGAAAACCAAUGAUAAAUCUUUACACAGACAAGGACACUGGGAAGCCAAAAGGGGAGGCAACAGUGUCAUUCGAUGACCCUCCUUCAGCUAAGGCAGCCAUUGACUGGUUUGAUGGAAAAGAAUUCCAUGGCAACAUCAUUAAAGUGUCCUUUGCUACCAGAAGACCUGAAUUUAUGAGAGGAGGUGGAAGUGGAGGUGGGCGACGAGGUCGUGGAGGAUAUAGAGGCCGUGGAGGUUUUCAGGGCAGAGGUGGAGACCCCAAAAGUGGAGACUGGGUUUGUCCUAAUCCAUCAUGUGGAAAUAUGAACUUUGCUCGAAGGAAUUCUUGCAAUCAGUGCAAUGAGCCUAGACCAGAGGACUCUCGUCCCUCAGGUGGAGAUUUCCGAGGGAGAGGCUACGGUGGAGAGAGGGGCUACAGAGGUCGUGGGGGCAGAGGUGGAGACCGAGGCGGCUAUGGUGGAGACAGAAGUGGGAGUGGCUAUGGUGGAGACAGAAGUGGCAGUGGUGGCUACGGUGGAGAUAGAAGUGGGGGUGGCUAUGGUGGGGACAGAAGUGGGGGUGGCUAUGCUGGAGACAGAGGCGGCGGUUAUGGUGGGGACAGAGGUGGUGGCUAUGGAGGGGAUCGAGGUGGCUAUGGUGGAGACCGAGGAGGAGGCUAUGGUGGAGACCGAGGAGGUUAUGGUGGAGAUCGAGGAGGCUAUGGAGGAGAUCGAGGAGGUUAUGGAGGAGAUCGAGGGGGCUAUGGAGGAGAUCGAAGUCGGGGGGGCUACGGUGGAGACCGUGGUGGUGGAGGCUACGGUGGAGACCGAAGUGGAGGCUAUGGAGGAGAUAGGAGUGGUGGUGGCUAUGGAGGAGACCGAGGUGGCUAUGGAGGCAAAAUGGGAGGAAGUUUCCCUCUUUAAGGAAGAAAGGAAAGUAUUUUCCUGGGUACCAGAUAUGGUGACUUGGGACAGUAGCUGAGGACUGAGCUGAGGAAAUCCACAGACAGGACCAACGUGCUCCUCAUCUAUAAAUCUCAGUGAAUCCACCAUGUGUGUGAACUCCUUCCUGUGUGACCCACUGCAUUGGUGGUUGAAAGGAUGAAGGGAAGUAAUGACUGUGGACGUGCUGAGGAGACUGUUAAAGGUGAAGUACAACAUCAUGGAGCUGUCUCUGCCCUCCUUGUCCCUCCAGUGUGCAUAGUCUACACUGCUCAGUCAUUACUUAUACACUCUACAGAUUUUACUGAGAAUUGUUGUGAGCCCUGUGAAAGCAUCCUGUUCUAGGCACUGCAGACACAAUAGCAAGUAAAGCAGGCAAAGACUUGCCAUUGGAGCUUGUUUGGGUGUGGGAUUAGGGUGAAGUGGGAGAAGGAGGUAGACAAUAAACAAAUUCACACUUC